rnacentral:rRNA from 1 species
GAUGAACGCUGGCGGCGUGCCUAAUACAUGCAAGUCGAGCGAACGGACGAGAAGCUUGCUUCUCUGAUGUUAGCGGCGGACGGGUGAGUAACACGUGGAUAACCUACCUAUAAGACUGGUAUAACUUCGGGAAACCGGAGCUAAUACCGGAUAAUAUUUUGAACCGCAUGGUUCAAAAGUGAAGGACGGUCUUGCUGUCACUUAUAGAUGGAUCCGCGCUGCAUUAGCUAGUUGGUAAGGUAACGGCUUACCAAGGCAACGAUGCAUAGCCGACCUGAGAGGGUGAUCGGCCACACUGGAACUGAGACACGGUCCAGACUCCUACGGGAGGCAGCAGUAGGGAAUCUUCCGCAAUGGGCGAAAGCCUGACGGAGCAACGCCGCGUGAGUGAUGAAGGUCUUCGGAUCGUAAAACUCUGUUAUUAGGGAAGAACAUAUGUGUAAGUAACUGUGCAUAUCUUGACGGUACCUAAUCAGAAAGCCACGGCUAACUACGUG